UACGGGGUGCAGCAGGCGCGCAAACUUUACAAUGCGAGCAAUCGUGAUAAGGAAACCCUGAGUGCCUGUCGAUGCAGGCUGUUCAUAUAUCUAAAUCAUAUGUGAAGAAAGGGCAGGGCAAGACCGGUGCCAGCCGCCGCGGUAAUACCGGCUGCUCGAGUGAUGGCCACUAUUACUGGGUUUAAAGCGUCCGUAGCUUGACUGUUAGGUCUCUCGGGAAAUCUUCACGCUCAGCGUGAAGGCGUCUAAGAGAUACCGGCAGUCUUGGAACUGGGAGAGGUAAACCGUACUUCGGGGGUAGGAGUGAAAUCUUGUAAUCCUCGAGGGACGACCUAUGGCGAAGGCAGUUUACCAGAACAGCUUCGACAGUGAGGGACGAAAGCUGGGGGAGCAAACGGGAUUAGAUACCCCGGUAGUCCCAGCCGUAAACAAUGUGCGUUAGGUGUGUCGGUAACCACGUGUUACUGAUGCGCCGAAGAGAAAUCGUGAAACGCACCACCUGGGAAGUACGGUCGCAAGGCUGAAACUUAAAGGAAUUGGCGGGGGAGCACCACAACAGGUGGAGCCUGCGGUUUAAUUGGAUUCAACGCCGGACAUCUCACCGGAUAAGACAGCUGAAUGAUUGUCAAUCUGAAGGUUUUACAUGACUAGCUGAGAGGAAGUGCAUG
rnacentral:rRNA from 1 species